GACGAGGGGUCCAAGCGUUGUUCGGAAUCAUUGGGCGUAAAGAGCGCGUAGGCGGCCCGAUAAGUCCGCUGUGAAAGUCCAGGGCUCAACCCUGGAAUGCCAGUGGAUACUGUCGGGCUAGAGUACGGAAGAGGCGAGUGGAAUUCCUGGUGUAGCGGUGGAAUGCGCAGAUAUCUGGAGGAAUACCGGUGGCGAAGGCGGCGUCCUGGACCAACACGUGACACUGAGGAGCGAAAGCCAGGGGAGCAAACGGG
rnacentral:rRNA from 1 species